rnacentral:rRNA from 1 species
GACGAACGCUGGCGGCGUGCUUAACACAUGCAAGUCGAACGGAAAGGCCUGUCCUUCCUUGUGUUGGACGGGUGCUCGAGUGGCGAACGGGUGAGUAACACGUGAGUGAUCUGCCCCCAACUUGGGUAUAAGCCUGGGAAACUGGGUCUAAUUCCCGAUAGGACUGCAGGGUGGUGCCUGUGGUGGAAAACGAUUUUCUAGUGGUUGGGGAUGAGCUCGCGGCCUAUCAGCUUGUUGGUGGGGUAAUGGCCUACCAAGGCGGCGACGGGUAGCCGGCCUGGGAGGGUGGACGGCCACAUUGGGACUGAGAUACGGCCCAGACUCCUACGGGAGGCAGCAGUGGGGAAUAUUGCACAAUGGGCGGAAGCCUGAUGCAGCGACGCCGCGUGGGGGAUGACGGCCUUCGGGUGGUAAACUCCUUUCGACCGCGAGGAAGCCGCCUGGUUGGAAGGGUGGUGACGGUAGUGGUAGAAGAAGCACCGGCUAACUACGUG